CGCACAUUGCGCCCGCCAGUAUUCUGGCGGGCAUGCCUGUUCGAGCGUCAUUUCAACCACUCAGGCCCUGGUGCCUGGCGUCGGGGUAUUCCGCCUCACGGCAGAAGCCCCUAGAGACAGUGGCGGACCCGCCGCGGCUCCGAGCGCAGUAGUAAAAUAUCUCGCUAUGGAGGUCCGCGGGGGGGUUUCCCGGCCGUAAAAAACUCUCUCCGCAAGGAGAUAAUCUCAAGGUUGACCUCGGAUCAGGUAGGAAUACCCGCUGAACUUAA
rnacentral:misc_RNA from 1 species